rnacentral:rRNA from 1 species
UACGUAGGGGGCAAGCGUUGUCCGGAAUCAUUGGGCGUAAAGAGCGCGUAGGCGGUCCGAUAAGUCGGUUGUGAAAACUGGGGGCUCAACCCUCAGAGGCCGACCGAUACUGUCGGGCUAGAGUCCGGAAGAGGCGAGUGGAAUUCCUGGUGUAGCGGUGAAAUGCGCAGAUAUCAGGAGGAACACCGAUGGCGAAGGCAGCUCGCUGGGACGGUACUGACGCUGAGGCGCGAAAGCGUGGGGAGCAAACAGG